GAGGUUUCUGCCUCAGGCUCAGGCGGGAGCCACCUUGGCUCCGGGACUCCGCGGAGGGCAGGCUGCACGGGUGAGGGUGUGGAAUACAGAGGCCAGCCGUUUCUGGGAAGGCUAGAGCCACAGAGCUUCUGAGGCGGCGCCAUCUUCGGAUCCAGACAACCGGCCACCUUCCUGGUGAGAGCACAGGGGUCCACCGGGCCUGAGAGGUUUCUGCCUCAGGCUCAGGCGGGAGCCACCUUGGCUCCAGGACUCCUCGGAGGGAAGGCUGCACGGGUGAGGGUGUGGAAUACAGAGGCCAGCCAUUUCUGGGACAGGCGAGAGCCACAGAGCUUCUGAGGCGGCGCCAUCUUCGGC
rnacentral:lncRNA from 1 species